GAUGAAGAACGUAGCGAAAUGCGAUAAGUAAUGUGAAUUGCAGAAUUCAGUGAAUCAUCGAAUCUUUGAACGCAUCUUGCGCUCCUUGGUAUUCUGAGGAGCAUGCCUGUUUGAGUGUCAUUAAAUUCUCAACUACACUGACUUUGAAUUGGUGUGGCUUGGAUUUGGGGGGAAAAUUGUUGUGGGCUUUUUGUAUAGUCUGCUCCCCUGAAAUUGAUUAGCGGUACCUUUGUGGAACUGUCUACAGGUGUGAUAAUUAUCUACAUCUUAGACAUCUGCUGGAAUGCUGCUUUCUAAACCUUACAUGUAUUGACAAUCUUGACCUCAAAUCAGGUAGGACUACCCGCUGAACUUAAGCAUAUCAAUAAGCGGAGAA
rnacentral:misc_RNA from 1 species